GUUGGCGGACGGGUGAGUAAUGCCUAGAAUCUGCCUGGUAGUGGGGGAUCNACGUUCCGAAAGGAACGCUAAUACCGCAUACGUCCUACGGGAGAAAGCAGGGGACCUUCGGGCCUUGCGCUAUCAGAUGACGCCUAGGUCGGAUUAGCUAGUUGGUGAGGUAAUGGCUCACCAAGGCGACGAUCCGUAACUGGUCUGAGAGGAUGAUCAGUCACACUGGAACUGAGACACGGUCCAGACUCCUACGGGAGGCAGCAGUGGGGAAUAUUGGACAAUGGGCGAAAGCCUGAUCCAGCCAUGCCGCGUGUGUGAAAGAAGGUCUUCGAGAUUGUAAAGCACUUUAAGUUGGGAGGAAGGGCAGUAAGUUAAUACCUUGCUGUUUUGACGUUACCGACAGAAUAAGCACCGGCUAACUUCGUGCCAGCAGCCGACGGUAAUACGAAGGGUGCAAGCGUUAAUCGGAAUUACUGGGCGUAAAGCGCGCGUAGAGUGGUUCGAUCACAGUCGGAUGUGCAAAGCCCCGGGCUCAACCUGGGAACUGACAUCCAAAACUGGCGAGCUAAGUACGGUANAGGGUGGUGGAAAUUUCCUGUGUACNGGUGAAUGCCGU
rnacentral:rRNA from 1 species